rnacentral:lncRNA from 1 species
UCCCUGGCAUCCUAUCCCUUCCUUGUUGGCGACAUCUCUAGGUCAGAAUCCAUCUCCAGGACUGUGUCUUCUCUGUUGUGUGAGGCCCAAGUGGCUCUGGCUCAGAUCUGUCUCCCUGUGACCUGAAGAUGCUAUGAGGUCCAUAGGAAGGAAGUCAGGACUCCCCAGAAGGCAGGAAAUGGUGAGUGUGU